UUCCUACGGGACGCAGCAGUAGGGAAUCUUCCACAAUGGGCGAAAGCCUGAUGGAGCAACGCCGCGUGGGUGAAGAAGGUCUUCGGAUCGUAAAACCCUGUUGUUAGAGAAGAAAGUGCGUGAGAGUAACUGUUCACGUUUCGACGGUAUCUAACCAGAAAGCCACGGCUAACUACGUGCCAGCAGCCGCGGUAAUACGUAGGUGGCAAGCGUUGUCCGGAAUUAUUGGGCGUAAAGAGUACGUAGGCGGUCUGUUAAGCGCAAGGUGAAAGGCAUAGGCUCAACCAAUGUGAGCCUUGCGAACU
rnacentral:rRNA from 1 species